CUCUAGCGGCCGAGCCGGGCCGCAGCCGAGCAGGGGGCGUGGGCUCGCAGGCUAAGUGGCUGCGCCUUUAAGGGGCGGGGUUGGGCCCAGUGUGGCGGAAGCGGAUUGGCCGGGAGGAGUCCCGGAAGUGGUUCUCGGAGAAGCCCACGUGGAUGAGUCGGACCCACAUGGCGGUGCUCUUGAGGACGCUGCUGCGGCCAGGGAGGCCCCCGGGAGUGUUGGGGCGCUCCCUGGGACGGCGUGAGGCCAGCCUGGGCUCCGGUUCUGGGGCUGCGGUGCGAGUGCGGUUCGCCCCCAGCCCCACAGGCUUCUUGCACCUGGGUGGCCUCCGCACUGCCUUGUACAACUACCUCUUUGCCAAGAAGCACGGAGGGAGCUUCAUUCUGCGGCUGGAGGACACGGACCAGACCCGCCUGGUGCCCGGGGCAGCGGACAAUAUCGAGGACAUGCUGGAGUGGGCAGGUAUCCCCCCUGAUGAGAGCCCCCAUCGGGGAGGCCCCAGGGGGCCCUACCUGCAGUCCCAGCGGCUGGAGCUGUACGCCCAGGCCACGGAAGCUCUGCUGAAAACCGGGGCUGCUUACCCCUGCUUCUGCUCUGCACAGCGGCUGGAGCUGCUGAAGAAGGAGGCCCUGAGGAGCCACCAGACGCCCCGGUAUGACAAUCGGUGCCGGAACCUGAGCCAGAAGCAGGUAGCUGAGAAGUUGGCCAAGGACCCCCGGCCUGCUAUCCGCUUUCGCCUGCAGGAGGAGGCACCAGCCUUCGAGGACUUGGUGUACGGCUGGAAUCGGCAUGAAGUAGCCAGUGUGGAGGGGGACCCGGUCAUCCUGAAGAGCGAUGGCUUCCCCACAUACCACCUGGCCUGCGUGGUGGAUGACCACCACAUGGGCAUCAGCCAUGUGCUGCGUGGCUCGGAGUGGCUGGUCUCCACUUCCAAGCACCUGCUGCUCUACCAGGCCCUGGGCUUGCCGCCACCUCACUUUGCCCACCUGCCCCUGCUCCUCAACAGGGACGGCAGUAAGCUGUCCAAGAGGCAAGGGGACAUUUUCCUGGAGAGUUUUGCUGCUGCCGGCUUCCUGCCAGAUGCCUUGCUCGACAUCAUCACUAACUGCGGCUCCGGGUUCGCAGAGAACCAGAUGGGCAGGACCUUGCCAGAGCUGAUAGCCCAGUUUGACCUGACCCGGAUCACCUGCCACUCAGCCCUGCUAGACCUGGAGAAGCUCCCAGAAUUCAACAGGCUGCACCUUCGUCGGCUGGUGAGCGAUGAGACCCAGAGGCGCCAGCUGGUGGGGAAGCUGCAGCUGCUCGUGGAGGAGGCAUUUGGGAGCCAGCUGCCAGACAGGGCUGUCCUGGACCCAGCCAAUGUGGAGAGGAUCCUCCUGCUGAGACAGGGUCACAUUUGCCGCUUGCAGGAUUUGGUCUCCCCGGCACACUCCUUCCUGUGGACUCACCCUGCUGUGGGUCGAACGCAGCUGGAUGCCAUCUCAGAGCAGGUGGAUGUGAUUGCCAAGCGCGUGCUGAGGCUUUUAGAAGGACCUGGCACCAGCUUAUCUCAGGACGUGCUGAAUGCAGAACUGAAGAAGCUGCCCGAAGGCCUGCCUGGCACCAAGUACAGUCACGUGAUGAAACUCCUCCGAGUGGCCCUCAGUGGACAGCCGCACCUAUUGAGUGCCUCCUGUGCAAGUGCUACGCUAGGUACAGAGGACACAGUAGUAAAUCAAACACGCACACUCCCUUCCGCCAUCCUUCGUGGGCUGGCUGUUGAUUAGAGGUCACAGACAUGUCAAUAGAGGAAGAAGAGGCUCCGGGGAUGCAGCCUCGGCCUCAGAAAUGAAAGACACAAGGACCGCCUGUAGCUGAGAUGAUGGUGUCCUUGGGACCAAAGGAAGUGCGGGAACGAAUACAGAAGGUGCUUUCCAGCUGACGGGAGAGGUGCCAGGCGGCGGAGGUGGCCUAGGAACCUGUGCGUGUGGAGACUGCCUUCGGAGGGAGGAGGGGUCCCGGGGCCCCCGGGAACUUGUAGCAGGAACCAGAGUCUGUGCGCACACAGUGUACACGUGGCUCCAUGCAGCCCAUCCUCGCCCGCUGGCUGGGAAGCCCAGCAUCUCACCUCCCUGCAUCUACAGAGGACGGCUCACGUCUGGUUCCCAUGCAGCAGUACAUGGCGGAGGUUUCCAGCUGGUUCCUGCACUGUCCAGAGGGCUCGUGUGUAGGCCGCCUUAGCUGCAUAACAAAUGCCACAGAGCUGGGGGCUUGAGCAACGAGUCAUUUCCUCACUGCCCAGGAGAGUGGAAGUCUACAGGGAAGGUGUUGGCGGGUUUCUUUUAUUCUUGGCUUGCUGAUGGCUGCUUUCUGCUGUUCCUAUGUCGUUGUCCUGAGGUGCCCUUGGUGCCUCUGGGUGCCCAAAUGUCUUAGGACACCAGGCAGAUGGGAUUAGCACCCACCCGAAUGGCCCAGCUGCACAUACAGUUAACAUUCGGAGGUCUCAGCCUUAGGCCUUAGGACCUUGGAGGGGACACAGUUCAGUGCAUGUCAGCGUGGCAGCAGCCUGGACUCGGUUCUCGGCCCAGUUUGGACUCAGAGUGGCAGGGCUGAGCUGAAAGUCACUUUCUCGGGGCUCAUCACGGGACAAGACUCAUCUGUCAGGGUGGGCUGGGGAGGAGCACUUGUGGCUUACACUUUUUUCGUCCUGGACUUGGGGCAGCCUGCCUCCCUUCCCUAAAGACUGUCUGCUGCUUUCCCAGUUCUUCAGACAUCGUCCUUGAACUCAGGCCUUUGCCCUGCCUAAUAAGCAUCUUUUUUUAUUUUUUAAUAUAUUU